rnacentral:rRNA from 1 species
AGAGACAGCAGUCGCCGCGGUAAUACGGAGGGUGCAAGCGUUAAUCGGAAUUACUGGGCGUAAAGCGCACGCAGGCGGUCUGACAAGUCAGAUGUGAAAUCCCCGGGCUUAACCUGGGAACUGCAUUUGAAACUGUCAGGCUGGAGUCUUGUAGAGGGGGGUAGAAUUCCAGGUGUAGCGGUGAAAUGCGUAGAGAUCUGGAGGAAUACCGGUGGCGAAGGCGGCCCCCUGGACAAAGACUGACGCUCAGGUGCGAAAGCGUGGGGAGCAAACAGGAUUAGAUACCCCUGUAGUCCCUGUCUCUUAUAC